rnacentral:rRNA from 1 species
UGCAAGUCGAGCGGUAGCACAGAGAGCUUGCUCUCGGGUGACGAGCGGCGGACGGGUGAGUAAUGUCUGGGAAACUGCCUGAUGGAGGGGGAUAACUACUGGAAACGGUAGCUAAUACCGCAUAACGUCGCAAGACCAAAGUGGGGGACCUUCGGGCCUCAUGCCAUCAGAUGUGCCCAGAUGGGAUUAGCUAGUAGGUGGGGUAACGGCUCACCUAGGCGACGAUCCCUAGCUGGUCUGAGAGGAUGACCAGCCACACUGGAACUGAGACACGGUCCAGACUCCUACGGGAGGCAGCAGUGGGGAAUAUUGCACAAUGGGCGCAAGCCUGAUGCAGCCAUGCCGCGUGUGUGAAGAAGGCCUUCGGGUUGUAAAGCACUUUCAGCGGGGAGGAAGGCGAUAAGGUUAAUAACCUUGUCGAUUGACGUUACCCGCAGAAGAAGCACCGGCUAACUCCGUGCCAGCAGCCGCGGUAAUACGGAGGGUGCAAGCGUUAAUCGGAAUUACUGGGCGUAAAGCGCACGCAGGCGGUCUGUCAAGUCGGAUGUGAAAUCCCCGGGCUCAACCUGGGAACUGCAUUCGAAACUGGCAGGCUAGAGUCUUGUAGAGGGGGGUAGAAUUCCAGGUGUAGCGGUGAAAUGCGUAGAGAUCUGGAGGAAUACCGGUGGCGAAGGCGGCCCCCUGGACAAAGACUGACGCUCAGGUGCGAAAGCGUGGGGAGCAAACAGGAUUAGAUACCCUGGUAGUCCACGCCGUAAACGAUGUCGAUUUGGAGGUUGUGCCCUUGAGGCGUGGCUUCCGGAGCUAACGCGUUAAAUCGACCGCCUGGGGAGUACGGCCGCAAGGUUAAAACUCAAAUGAAUUGACGGGGGCCCGCACAAGCGGUGGAGCAUGUGGUUUAAUUCGAUGCAACGCGAAGAACCUUACCUGGUCUUGACAUCCACAGAACUUUCCAGAGAUUGGAUUGGUGCCUUCGGGAACUGUGAGACAGGUGCUGCAUGGCUGUCGUCAGCUCGUGUUGUGAAAUGUUGGGUUAAGUCCCGCAACGAGCGCAACCCUUAUCCUUUGUUGCCAGCGGUUAGGCCGGGAACUCAAAGGAGACUGCCAGUGAUAAACUGGAGGAAGGUGGGGAUGACGUCAAGUCAUCAUGGCCCUUACGACCAGGGCUACACACGUGCUACAAUGGCAUAUACAAAGAGAAGCGACCUCGCGAGAGCAAGCGGACCUCAUAAAGUAUGUCGUAGUCCGGAUUGGAGUCUGCAACUCGACUCCAUGAAGUCGGAAUCGCUAGUAAUCGUAGAUCAGAAUGCUACGGUGAAUACGUUCCCGGGCCUUGUACACACCGCCCGUCACACCAUGGGAGUGGGUUGCAAAAGAAGUAGGUAGC